GAUGAACGCUAGCGGCAGGCUUAAUACAUGCAAGUCGUGGGGCAGCAGGUUUGUAGCAAUACAGAUGCUGGCGACCGGCAAACGGGUGCGCAACACGUACGCAACCUUCCCGUUACUGGGGAAUAGCCCAGGGAAACUUGGAUUAAUACCCCAUAUUGUAUUGGUCAGGCAUCUGACUGAUAUCAAAGCUUCGGCGGUAACGGAUGGGCGUGCGGUUGAUUAGGUAGUUGGCGGGGUAACGGCCCACCAAGCCUACGAUCAAUAGCUGAUGUGAGAGCAUGAUCAGCCACACGGGCACUGAGACACGGGCCCGACUCCUACGGGAGGCAGCAGUAAGGAAUAUUGGGCAAUGGACGCAAGUCUGACCCAGCCAUGCCGCGUGAAGGAUGAAGGUCCUCUGGAUUGUAAACUUCUUUUAUCUGGGGCGAAAACCGGUUAUUCUUAACCGUUUGACAGUACCAGAGGAAUAAGCACCGGCUAACUCCGUGCCAGCAGCCGCAGUAAAAC
rnacentral:rRNA from 1 species